GCUAGCGUAGCUUAAACUGAAAGCACAACUCUGAAGAUGUUAAGAUGGACCCUAGAAAAGUCCCGCAGGCA
rnacentral:tRNA from 1 species